rnacentral:miRNA from 1 species
UAAUUGCAUCCUUGUUU